AGAGUUGAUCCUGGCUAGGACGAACGCUGGCGGCGUGCCUAACACAUGCAAGUCGAGCGAGGAGAUCCUUCGGGAUGAUCCUAGCGGCGGACGGGUGAGUAACACGUGGGCAACCUGCCUCAUAGAGAGGAAUAGCCUUCCGAAAGGGAGAUUAAUACCUCAUAACAUUGCAGUUUCGCAUGGAACAGCAAUUAAAGGAGUAAUCCGCUAUGAGAUGGGCCCGCGGCGCAUUAGCUAGUUGGUGAGGUAACGGCUCACCAAGGCGACGAUGCGUAGCCGACCUGAGAGGGUGAUCGGCCACAUUGGGACUGAGACACGGCCCAGACUCCUACGGGAGGCAGCAGUGGGGAAUAUUGCACAAUGGGGGAAACCCUGAUGCAAGCAACGCCGCGUGAGUGAUGACGGCCUUCGGGUUGUAAAGCUCUGUCUUCAGGGACGAUAAUGACGGUACCUGAGGAGGAAGCCACGGCUAACUACGUGCCAGCCGCAGC
rnacentral:rRNA from 1 species